rnacentral:tRNA from 1 species
GGUUCCUUAGCCAAGUGGUAAGGCAAUAGACUGCAACUCUGUGAUCGUCGGUUCAAAUCCGACAGGAACCUCCA